rnacentral:rRNA from 1 species
UACGUAGGGUGCAAGCGUUAAUCGGAAUUACUGGGCGUAAAGCGUGCGCAGGCGGUUUUGUAAGUCUGUCGUGAAAGCCCCGGGCUCAACCUGGGAAUUGCGAUGGAGACUGCAAGGCUUGAAUCUGGCAGAGGGGGGUAGAAUUCCACGUGUAGCAGUGAAAUGCGUAGAGAUGUGGAGGAAUACCGAUGGCGAAGGCAGCCCCCUGGGUCAAGAUUGACGCUCAAGCACGAAAGCGUGGGGAGCAAACAGG